rnacentral:sRNA from 1 species
GCAGGCAUGGCACAAGCCUAUAGUUCCAGUUUCUUGGAAUGCUGAGGCUGGAGGAUCACUUGAGCCGAGGAGUACUGGACUAUGGUGUCCUAUGCCAUCAGGUGUCCACACUAAGUUAGACAUCAAUAAGGUGACCUCCUACGAGGGGGGACCACCAGGUUGCCUAAGGAGUGGUGAGACAGAACAGGCUGUAGUGGGGUCUCACAUAAUCACUGUGUUGCAGCCUGGGCAACACAGCAAGACCUCAUUUUU